UUAGGAAUCUUGCGCAAUGGGCGAAAGCCUGACGCAGCAACGCCGCGUGGGGGAUGAAGGCCCUCGGGUUGUAAACCCCUUUCAGUCGGGACGAAAAUGACGGUACCGACAGAAGAAGCCCCGGCCAACUACGUGCCAGCAGCCGCGGUGACACGUAGGGGGCAAGCGUUGUCCGGAUUUAUUGGGCGUAAAGGGCUCGUAGGCGGUUCGACAAGUCGGGUGUGAAACCUCCAGGCUCAACCUGGAGUCGCCGCUCGAAACUGUUGUGACUAGAGUCCGGUAGAGGAGCAUGGAAUUUGUGGUGUAGCGGUGGAAUGCGCAGAUAUCACAAGGAACACCAGUAGCGAAGGCGAUGCUCUGGGCCGGUACUGACGCUGAGGAGCGAAAGCAUGGGGAGCGAACAGG
rnacentral:rRNA from 1 species